rnacentral:lncRNA from 1 species
UGUGUCAUGCUUUUAAGUUUUACUACUGCCUCAGGGUGAAGUUUUGAGCUUUAAUCUUUCAAAUUUGCAUUGGAUCUGAUAAAAUAUCGAUCGCAUCUUAAAAUUGAACUAUUACUUGAUAAAUCAUGGCAACAAAAAAAUAGCGGAAGGAAGAAAUAGUUUUUAUGCCACACCUCGGGGCAUUAUAUUUUUGAGUCUGUGGGCGAUCGUUUGGUACGUCGUUUGUGU